GCUGGUGUUCCUCGGACUCCGCAGCCGCGUGCGGUUCCUCUGGACGGCGCCCCCGGGGUUUGGCGCGCGGAGGCUGUGGUUCGCUUUCACGGCGCUGUCGGCAUUCUCGGUGUGCCGGCGGCUGUGGGCGCAGUUCAAGGAAAAGGGCGAGGUCGGAGCCGCGGCGGCCGAGGCGGCGAGUGUCUCGGCGGUGCCGAGAUCGGCGUCGGGGAUUCAGCUGCAGCUGCUGCUGGAAGGGGAUGGUUUCAGG
rnacentral:misc_RNA from 1 species